AUGAGUCAUCUCGUUCCAAUGAGAAGAAGACUGAGGUGUGCGCGCUUUUUUUUUCUGCCUUUUUUUUUUUACUCUUUUUUUUUUAUUCUUUCUUUUUCCUUCUUUUUUUCUUUUUUCUUUUUUUUUUUUUUUACUUUCUUUUUUUUUUGGUCUCAGUCAUGUGGACAUCAUUGGGAAUGGAGGGAAAGAGUGACUGCAUGGCUGGUGCUUGCUGAGCCGCGGGCUGGUAUUCCAGAAGGGCUGUGCCUGAGUCGGUGUCUGCUUCAGACCUUCGGGGCCCCGGCGGCGGGAAGGUGGAGUCAGCCGCUUGUCCCUGAUGUGCAAAGUAAGGAGCAAAAGGGGAAAAGACUUGGUUGUGGUGUGUGGCUGCCGGGAGCUUCCUCAUCCUUUAUGAGCUGGAUCUGUAAAGGAGACUGUCAGGCAGUGCAAGAUGCAGCUGUUACCCUGCUGAACUUGCCACCCUGGUCAAGUGACUUCACUUAUCCAAGCCUCAGAUGA
rnacentral:lncRNA from 1 species